UCCAGUGUGACUCAGAACAACUAAGCUGAUCGCACGUUCUGUACCGGCGACGUGUCUUUCAAGUGUCUGCCUUAUCACCUUUCGAUGGUAGUGUAUCUGACUACCAUGGUGAUGACGGGUAACGGAGGAUAAGGGUUCGACUCCGGAGAAGGGGCCUGAGAAAUGGCCACUACGUCUAAGGAUGGCAGCAGGCGCGCAAAUUACCCACUCUCAACGCGAGGAGGUAGUGACGAGAAAUAACGAGACCGAUCUCUUAUGAGGCCGGUCAUCGGAAUGGGUACAAUUUAAACCCUUUAACGAGUAUCUAUGAGAGGGCAAGUCUGGUGCCAGCAGCCGCGGUAAUUCCAGCUCUCAAAAUGCAUAGAAUUAUUGCUGCGGUUAAAAAGCUCGUAGUUGGAUCUGUGCUAGCCGUCCGGUGCACACUUUGUGUGUUACUGGUUUGGUUGGCUUUUCUGCCGGUCUUUCCCCGGCGUUGGCCUUUACCGGUCGGCGUCGGUGGGCUGGCGAGUUUACUUUGAACAAAUCAGAGUGCUUCAAACAGGCGUUUCGCUUGAAUGUUCGUGCAUGGAAUAAUAGAAGAGGAUUUCGGUCCGAUUUUAUUGGUUUUGCUGACCGAGAUAAUGGUUAACAGAGACAAACGGGGCCAUUCGUAUUGCUACGUGAGAGGUGAAAUUCUUGGACCGUAGCAAGACGGACUACAGCGAAAGCAUUUGGCAAGAAUGUCUUCAUUAAUCAAGAACGAAAGUCAGAGGUUCGAAGGCGAUCAGAUACCGCCCUAGUUCUGACCGUAAACGAUGCCAACUAGCGAUCCGCCGGCGGAUUUAUUCGCCCUGGUGGGGAGCUUCCCGGAAACGAAAGUCUUCCGGUUCCGGGGGAAGUAUGGUUGCAAAGCUGAAACUUAAAGGAAUUGACGGAAGGGCACCACCAGGAGUGGAGCCUGCGGCUUAAUUUGACUCAACACGGGGAAACUCACCCGGCCCGGACACCGUAAGGAUUGACAGAUUGA
rnacentral:rRNA from 2 species